rnacentral:misc_RNA from 2 species
ACACCUCAACUCUUCAUGGUUUUCCAUGAUGAGCUUGGACUUUGGGGGACUUGCUGGCCUACAGUCAGCUCCUCUAAAAUAAAUCAGCUUGCCAGUGUUUGGUGGGUAUCGCAGGUGUGAUAACUAUCUACGCUUGUGGUUUUCCACCAAGUAACCUUCAGCAGUGGAGGUUCACUGGAGCUCACAGAUGUCUCUCCUCAGUGAGGGACAGCCCUUUGAAU